GACGAACGCUGGCGGCGUGCUUAACACAUGCAAGUCGAACGGAAAGGCCCUGCUUUUGUGGGGUGCUCGAGUGGCGAACGGGUGAGUAACACGUGAGUAACCUGCCCUUGACUUUGGGAUAACUUCAGGAAACUGGGGCUAAUACCGGAUAGGAGCUCCUGCUGCAUGGUGGGGGUUGGAAAGUUUCGGCGGUUGGGGAUGGACUCGCGGCUUAUCAGCUUGUUGGUGGGGUAGUGGCUUACCAAGGCUUUGACGGGUAGCCGGCCUGAGAGGGUGACCGGCCACAUUGGGACUGAGAUACGGCCCAGACUGCAACGGGAGGCAGCAGUGGGGAAUAUUGCACAAUGGGCGGAAGCCUGAUGCAGCAACGCCGCGUGCGGGAUGACGGCCUUCGGGUUGUAAACCGCUUUCGCCUGUGACGAAGCGUGAGUGACGGUAAUGGGUAAAGAAGCACCGGCUAACUACGUG
rnacentral:rRNA from 1 species